GGGGACCUCCCACCCACCAUACAGGGGAACACUCGGCAGAGCCAGAGGCCUGGGCCCAAGUCCUGCCACCAGCUGGCUGUGAAACUGUGGUACAGCACCUUGUGUCCUGCCACCAGCCGGCUGUGAAACUGGUACAGCACCUUGUCCUCAGGUCCUUGGUUUCCUCACUUGUAAAUUCAUGGUUCUCCAUGGCAUCUCUGGUCUUCAACAUUAUUUUGCAUAGAGUCUCAGAAGCUUUAGUGUGAGCGGAUGAUAUGGGCACGAAGCAAGGCACCCAGAAGUGGGGGCAACUACUCUGCUUUCUAAAAUGCAAGGGAACCGGAAAAUCCAGGAGCCGUGCCAAAGUGAUGAGAAGAGGAACAAAUGGAGGAACAUCCCAGUCAAGUGACAUUCCUAGUGACAUUCACCAGAACAGAGUCAAGCUUUGGAUCCCAUGUUCUGUGACUUCCUCUUCACCACGCUUCCUCCACACACGUAGCAGCUCAAGGGUUUCUGAUGAGUGGGUAUGACUGGAAUGAACUUCACAACCUGAAGACAGCUAAGGUUGCAAAGCUGGCACUCAAACCUCAGUGAGGCUUGGGUUCUUGUCAACUCCUGAGUCAGCACUGGAGGUGCAGAUGGUCACUUGUACAGGACUAAUUGUUUCUCUCUGCUGCAAGAUACGCAGAACCUUUAAAUGCCGGAAUUAAUACAGGGUUUUUAAAGAAAAGUUGGAAAAUACAAGUUGAAAGGAGAAAUAAAUCUCUGCUAGCAGGAGGCAAGAAGCCCUAACUGUUUCUGACAUGGCUCAGAAGACCCUGCACCUGGAUGGCCGCACCACCUCACGCUGUCCAAGAGAGGUAUGCCCUGGCCAAAGGCUUCACUCACUUCCCAGUCUGUCACGAAAAAGAACCGCAUGUUUUCCUCUAACACAAAGGUCAGCAAAUUACAGCCUGUGGGCCACCUGUGUGUAUAAGGCCCAUGAACUAAGAACAGUUUUCUUACUUUUAAAUGGUUGGAAAAAAAUCAAAAGAAGAAUAUUUUAUGAAGAUAGAAAUUAUCUGAAAUUCAAAUUUUAGCGUUUAUAAACAAAGUUUUUUAAAAUUUUUUUAUUUUAUUUUUUUGAGAUGGAGUCUCGCUCUCUCUCUCAGGCUGGAGUGCAGCGGUGCGAUCUUGGCUCACCGCAAACUCUGCCUGCCAGGUUCAAGCAUGCCCGGCUAUUUGUAUUUUUAGUAGAAACAGGGUUUCACCAUGCUGGCCAGGCUGGUCUCGAACUCCUGACCUCGUGAUCCGCCCGCCUCGGCCUCCCAAAGUGCUGGGAUUACAGGCGUGAGCCACCGUGCCCAGCCUAUAAAUAAAGUUUUAUUGGAACACA
rnacentral:lncRNA from 1 species